rnacentral:rRNA from 1 species
UACGAAGGGGGCUAGCGUUGCUCGGAAUCACUGGGCGUAAAGCGCACGUAGGCGGAUCUUUAAGUCAGGGGUGAAAUCCUGGAGCUCAACUCCAGAACUGCCUUCGAUACUGAGAGUCUCGAGUCCGGGAGAGGUGAGUGGAACUGCGAGUGUAGAGGUGAAAUUCGUAGAUAUUCGCAAGAACACCAGUGGCGAAGGCGGCUUACUGGCCCGGUACUGACGCUGAGGUGCGAAAGCGUGGGGAGCAAACAGG